AUUCAGGCCUAACACAUGCAAGUCGAGCGGCAGCACGGGGGCAACCCUGGUGGCGAGCGGCGAACGGGUGAGUAACACAUCGGAACGUACCCUAUCGUGGGGGAUAACGAAUCGAAAGAUUCGCUAAUACCGCAUACGACCCGAGGGUGAAAGCGGGGGAUCGCAAGACCUCGCGCGACAGGAGCGGCCGAUGGCGGAUUAGCUAGUUGGUGGGGUAAAGGCCCACCAAGGCGACGAUCCGUAGCGGGUCUGAGAGGACGGCCCGCCACACUGGGACUGAGACACGGCCCAGACUCCUACGGGAGGCAGCAGUGGGGAAUUUUGGACAAUGGGGGCAACCCUGAUCCAGCCAUGCCGCGUGAGUGAAGAAGGCCUUCGGGUUGUAAAGCUCUUUCGGCCGGGAAGGAAUCGUAUGGGUUAAUACCCUGUGCGGAUGACGGUACCGGCAUAAGAAGCACCGGCUAACUACGUGCCAGCAGCCGCGGUAAUACGUAGGGUGCGAGCGUUAAUCGGAAUUACUGGGCGUAAAGCGUGCGCAGGCGGUUUUGUAAGACAGGCGUGAAAUCCCCGGGCUCAACCUGGGAACUGCGCUUGUGACUGCAAGGCUAGAGUAUGGCAGAGGGGGGUGGAAUUCCACGUGUAGCAGUGAAAUGCGUAGAGAUGUGGAGGAACACCAAUGGCGAAGGCAGCCCCCUGGGCCAAUACUGACGCUCAUGCACGAAAGCGUGGGUAGCAAACAGGAUUAGAUACCCUGGUAGUCCACGCCCUAAACGAUGCGAACUGGAUGUUGGGUGCAACUAGGCACUCAGUAUCGAAGCUAAC
rnacentral:rRNA from 1 species